GGGGAUGUGCUGCAAGGCGAUUAAGUUGGGUAACGCCAGGGUUUUCCCAGUCACGACGUUGUAAAACGACGGCCAGUGAAUUGUAAUACGACUCACUUAUAGGGCGAAUUGGGCCCGACGUCGCAUGCUCCCGGCCGCCAUGGCGGCCGCGGGAAAUUCGAUUUGGGUAACCUGCCCUUGAGACCGGGAUACCCUCUCGAAAGGGAGGCUAAUACUGGAUACGUUCCCCGGGGCGCAAGACCUGGGGAGGAAAGGUGGCGAAAGCUGCCGCUCUUGGAGGGGCUCGCGGCCUAUCAGCUAGUUGGUGAGGUAACGGCUCACCAAGGCUAUGACGGGUAGCUGGUCUGAGAGGACGACCAGCCACACGGGAACUGAGACACGGUCCCGACUCCUACGGGAGGCAGCAGUGGGGAAUUUUCCGCAAUGGGCGAAAGCCUGACGGAGUGACGCCGCGUGGGGGACGAAGGCCUUCGGGUCGUAAACCCCUGUCAGAGGGAAAGAAGGGUGCUGGCGUGAACAGCGCCGGCAUCUGACGGUACCUUCAGAGGAAGCCCCGGCCAACUCUGUGCCAGCAGCCGCGGUAAGACAGAGGGGGCAAGCGUUGCUCGGAAUCACUGGGCGUAAAGGGCGCGUAGGCGGGAUGGCAAGUCGGUCGUGAAAUCCUUCGGCUCAACCGAAGAACGUCGGCCAAUACUGCCGUUCUUGAGGGAUGCAGAGGAGAUUGGAAUUCCCGGUGUAGCGGUGAAAUGUGUAGAGAUCGGGAGGAACACCGGUGGCGAAGGCGGGUCUCUGGGCAUCUCCUGACGCUGAGGCGCGAAAGCGUGGGGAGCAAACGGGAUUAGAUACCCCGGUAGUCCACGCUGUAAACGAUGACGACUAGGUGUGGGGGGGGUUAGUCCUUUCCGUGCCGCAGCUAACGCAUUAAGUCGUCCGCCUGGGGAGUACGGCCGCAAGGUU
rnacentral:rRNA from 1 species